rnacentral:rRNA from 1 species
UUUUCGCAAUGCCCGAAAGGGUGACGAAGCGACGCCGCGUGGGUGAGGAAGGCCUUCGGGUUGUAAAGCCCUGUCAGGAGUUAAGAAAUGUAAGUGCGCUAAUAUCGCAUUUAUUUGACGAAGGCUCCAAAGGAAGUCACGGCUAACUCUGUGCCAGCAGCCGCGGUAAUACAGAGGUGGCAAGCGUUGUUCGGAAUUAUUGGGCGUAAAGAGCACGUAGGUGGGUUUGUAAGUCAGAUGUGAAAGCCUUCUGUUCAACGGAAGAAUUGCAUCUGAAACUGCAAGUCUUGAGUAUAGGAGGGGAGAAUGGAACUUCUGGUGGAGCGGUGAAAUGCGUAGAUAUCAGAAGGAACGCCGGCGGCGAAAGCGAUUCUCUGGCCUAUUACUGACACUCAGUGUGCGAAAGCUAGGGGAGCAAACGGGAUUAGAUACCCCGGUAGUCCUAGCCGUAAACGAUGGGCACUAAGUAGAGGGGUUUUA